rnacentral:pre_miRNA from 1 species
AAAGUACUCCCUCCAUCCAAAAAUUCUUGUCUUAGAUUUGUCUUGAUACGGAUGUAUCAAGUCACAUUUUAGUAUUAGAUACAUCCGUAUCUAGACAAAUCUAAGACAAGAAAUUUGGGACAGAGGGAGUAGUUG